GAUGAACGCUGGCGGCGUGCUUAACACAUGCAAGUCGAACGAAGCACCUCUCCCGAAGAUUGACACAGCUUGCUGUAGAUUGAUUCAUUUGAGGUGACUGAGUGGCGGACGGGUGAGUAACGCGUGGGUAACCUGCCUCAUAGAGGGGGACAACAGUUGGAAACGACUGCUAAUACCGCAUAGUAAGAAGAAUUCGCAUGUUUUCUUCUUGAAAGAUUUAUCGCUAUGAGAUGGACCCGCGUCUGAUUAGCUAGUUGGUAAGGUAACGGCUUACCAAGGCGACGAUCAGUAGCCGGCUUGAGAGAGUGAACGGCCACAUUGGGACUGAGACACGGCCCAAACUCCUACGGGAGGAAGCAGUGGGGAAUAUUGCACAAUGGGGGAAACCCUGAUGCAGCGACGCCGCGUGAGUGAAGAAGUAUUUCGGUAUGUAAAGCUCUAUCAGCAGGGAAGAUAAUGACGGUACCUGACUAAGAAGCCCCGGCUAACUACGUG
rnacentral:rRNA from 1 species